rnacentral:ncRNA from 1 species
GCGCGUGGACGACCUCGCGCUUUCAUCAUUUCGGCCGGGACGACCCGC